AUUGAACGCUGGCGGAAUGCUUUACACAUGCAAGUCGAACGGCAGCACGGACUUCGGUCUGGUGGCGAGUGGCGAACGGGUGAGUAAUGUAUCGGAACGUGCCCAGUCGUGGGGGAUAACGUAGUGAAAAUUACGCUAAUACCGCAUACGAUCUAUGGAUGAAAGCGGGGGAUCGCAAGACCUCGCGCGAUUGGAGCGGACGAUAUCAGAUUAGGUAGUUGGUGGGGUAAAGGCCCACCAAGCCAACGAUCUGUAGCUGGUCUGAGAGGACGACCAGCCACACUGGAACUGAGACACGGUCCAGACUCCUACGGGAGGCAGCAGUGGGGAAUUUUGGACAAUGGGCGAAAGCCUGAUCCAGCCAUUCCGCGUGCAGGAUGAAGGCCCUUGGGUUGUAAACUGCUUUUGUACAGAACGAAAAGGUUUCUACUAAUACUAGGGCUCAUGACGGUACUGUAAGAAUAAGCACCGGCUAACUACGUGCCAGCCGCCGCAGUAA
rnacentral:rRNA from 1 species